CAUUCUUAUAAAUGAAAACAGAGAUGAGAUGUUAUUUCUGACUUGAAGUCCAGGAAAACAUUUACUGGAGGUCGGUCCCUGUCCAGCAGGGGGAGCAGCUUCCUAACACAAACUCGUUUCUGGUCCUGGUUGUAGGUUUAAGCUCUCAUCAUUUCACUAGGAUUCCAAUAGGUCUACAUGUAGAGUCAAGAAAUUUAAUUAGGCGCUAUCCUAAAGAUGAAAGCUUCUCCCGCCUUGGUGACGGUGAUAGUCUUAAUAGUAGGAAGGACAUGCGGACAGUCGGUGACACAGAUGGGAGGCCAAGUGACCACCACAGAAGAGACUUUUCUGACCAUAAACUGCACUUAUACAGCCUCAGGCUACCCUGAGCUUUCCUGGUAUGUCCAGUACCCUGGAAAAGGUCCGCAGCUCCUCCUAAAAGCUGUGAAAGCCAACCAAAGGGAAAUAAGCAAAGGCUUCGAAGCCAUCUAUGAUAAAGAAACCAAAUCCUUCCACUUGAAGAAAGCCUCAGUGCAGGCGUCAGACUCGGCUGUGUACUACUGUGCACUGAGUGACACAGUGGCAGGAACUGCAGGGGGAGCUGAGCACAAACUCUGAGCAGGACCAGGAGCC